UCCCAGACUCCUACGGGAGGCAGCAGUGGGGAAUAUUGCACAAUGGGGGAAACCCUGAUGCAGCGACGCCGCGUGAGCGAAGAAGUACCUCGGUAUGUAAAGCUCUAUCAGCAGGGAAGAAGAUGACGGUACCUGACCAAGAAGCUCCGGCUAAAUACGUGCCAGCAGCCGCGGUAAUACGUAUGGAGCAAGCGUUAUCCGGAUUUACUGGGUGUAAAGGGAGCGCAGGCGGCCUUGCAAGUCUGAUGUGAAAGCCCGGGGCCCAACCCCGGGACUGCCCUUGGAACUGCUUGGCUGGAGUGCGGGAGGGGCAGGCGGAAUUCCUGGUGUAGCGGUGAAAUGCGUAGAUAUUAGGAGGAACACCAGUGGCGAAGGCGGUCUGCUGGACAGCAACUGACGCUGAGGCGCGAAAGCGUGGGGAGCAAACAGGAUUAGAUACCCGGGUA
rnacentral:rRNA from 1 species